GCAAGUCGAACGCGAAAGCACCUUCGGGAGCAAGUAGAGUGGCGGACGGGUGAGUAACGAGUAGGAAUAUACCAAGUAGUGGGGGAUAGCCCGGUGAAACUCGGAUUAAUACCGCAUAUGUCUCACGAGAUAAAGAGGGCCUCUUCUUGAAAGCUCUUGCUACUAGAUUAGCCUGCGUCGGAUUAGCUUGUUGGUAGGGUAAUGGCCUACCAAGGCGACGAUCCGUAGCUGGUCUGAGAGGAUGAUC
rnacentral:rRNA from 1 species